CCGAUAGUGAACCAGUACCGUGAGGGAAAGGCGAAAAGAACCCCGGCGAGGGGAGUGAAAAAGAACCUGAAACCGUGUACGUACAAGCAGUGGGAGCACGCUUAGGCGUGUGACUGCGUACCUUUUGUAUAAUGGGUCAGCGACUUAUAUUCUGUAGCAAGGUUAACCGAAUAGGGGAGCCGAAGGGAAACCGAGUCUUAACUGGGCGUUAAGUUGCAGGGUAUAGACCCGAAACCCGGUGAUCUAGCCAUGGGCAGGUUGAAGGUUGGGUAACACUAACUGGAGGACCGAACCGACUAAUGUUGAAAAAUUAGCGGAUGACUUGUGGCUGGGGGUGAAAGGCCAAUCAAACCGGGAGAUAGCUGGUUCUCCCCGAAAGCUAUUUAGGUAGCGCCUCGUGAAUUCAUCUCCGGGGGUAGAGCACUGUUUCGGCAAGGGGGUCAUCCCGACUUACCAACCCGAUGCAAACUGCGAAUACCGGAGAAUGUUAUCACGGGAGACACACGGCGGGUGCUAACGUCCGUCGUGAAGAGGGAAACAACCCAGACCGCCAGCUAAGGUCCCAAAGUCAUGGUUAAGUGGGAAACGAUGUGGGAAGGCCCAGACAGCCAGGAUGUUGGCUUAGAAGCAGCCAUCAUUUAAAGAAAGCGUAAUAGCUCACUGGUCGAGUCGGCCUGCGCGGAAGAUGUAACGGGGCUAAACCAUGCACCGAAGCUGCGGCAGCGACGCUUAUGCGUUGUUGGGUAGGGGAGCGUUCUGUAAGCCUGUGAAGGUGUGCUGUGAGGCAUGCUGGAGGUAUCAGAAGUGCGAAUGCUGACAUAAGUAACGAUAAAGCGGGUGAAAAGCCCGCUCGCCGGAAGACCAAGGGUUCCUGUCCAACGUUAAUCGGGGCAGGGUGAGUCGACCCCUAAGGCGAGGCCGAAAGGCGUAGUCGAUGGGAAACAGGUUAAUAUUCCUGUACUUGGUGUUACUGCGAAGGGGGGACGGAGAAGGCUAUGUUGGCCGGGCGACGGUUGUCCCGGUUUAAGCGUGUAGGCUGGUUUUCCAGGCAAAUCCGGAAAAUCAAGGCUGAGGCGUGAUGACGAGGCACUACGGUGCUGAAGCAACAAAUGCCCUGCUUCCAGGAAAAGCCUCUAAGCAUCAGGUAACAUCAAAUCGUACCCCAAACCGACACAGGUGGUCAGGUAGAGAAUACCAAGGCGCUUGAGAGAACUCGGGUGAAGGAACUAGGCAAAAUGGUGCCGUAACUUCGGGAGAAGGCACGCUGAUAUGUAGGUGAAGUCCCUCGCGGAUGGAGCUGAAAUCAGUCGAAGAUACCAGCUGGCUGCAACUGUUUAUUAAAAACACAGCACUGUGCAAACACGAAAGUGGACGUAUACGGUGUGACGCCUGCCCGGUGCCGGAAGGUUAAUUGAUGGGGU
rnacentral:rRNA from 1 species